rnacentral:lncRNA from 1 species
CUGGGUUUGUUGUUGUUACUGUUGUUGUUUGCUCUUUUAAUUCACCAUGGCAGUUUCUAUUAUUUCUUUUAUCAUGUACCAUUCAUAUUUAAAUUUAAAAAACAGUAGCAGUAUCUCCAGGAAGAAUAAGCUUUAUUCUACAGAAAAAGAACUAAAUGUUAAAAUGGGGCUUUUCGGAUAUCACCAAAAGCAUUCUGCAGCUCCAUGGAAAGAAACAUAGCAGGAGGGGAGAAAAAAAUAUAGAGGGAGUUCAGUACAGCAUGUGAAUAAGGAAAGUGUGAAAAUUCAAUGUAUGCACAGCAGCGUGGAAACAACACCUAGCAAGUCAGAAUCUGGAUUGCUGCAGCAUCAGUUAUGUGAUGGAGAGUGGGGGAAGCGAGGCUGAGGUGAAAAGCUUCUGCUCUUUGAAUAUGAUACAAAGCAUGGAUCCUGCUUGGAAGCACAAGUAGUCUAACAGAAAAAAGCAGCCUUAGACAUGGGAAAGAGGACUCAUCAGACAGAGGACAAUGAUAUUUGCUCAGGAUUACUCUCCCAGGGCAGUUUUCAUUGCAAAGGCAACUGUCCUCAGUGCAUGUUUUGCUCAAAAUCCCAUUGGCUAGAGAACUCAUCCAAAGCAAAUGCACUUUCAGCCCCAGAUGGUUUUAUCUGACGAGAACCACAGACUACUUUUGUCUCUUGGUCGAUGGAAAUGACCUGGCCACUAAGCUAUCAAUUGUCUUCAUUCACUUUCACAGCUCUCCUCAGCUCAGAAGGACAGAAAAAUGUUGCCCCAAAGCAUUAAUGGGCCCUGGAGCAGCUCAGCUUAUCUCAGCCUGGAGAACCAGGGGUAUUCCCUAGAAGCUCUACUAGUGUCUGAAAAUGUGAGAAGCUGCUGAGAUUCAGCAGUGAUUUGGACAGGAAUGAAGGGUUCACUGUUUGACCGCCUGACCCACGGGGUUACUCCAGGAGCCAGCUUUUACACUGAAAGAGAAGUGAACACACUUGAGGAUGGUUGUACACAUUCCACAUCUUCCAACAUCUCUCUGAAGUCCCUCAUACCACUGCUAGACUCUCCAGAAAGUGCCUUGUCUGUGACAACCUAGGAUGAACUGCACCAGUCAGUAGAAGACAUAAUACGAUGAAAAAUCUGGAGACGCUGCAAGACCCAUUGGGAGAAAACAGCAACCAUAAUGCAACAUCAGUAGGCUGUGUGGUCAAAAAUAGGACCCAAAUGUAAAAAGGGAGUGCCAGUUGGAAUGGAUCUAUUAAAUAAUGUUCAGCAAAUGCUCUGAUCUGUAGUGGUACAAAGGUAUCAAUAUUUAUGAUAGUUUCAUAAAUGCUUUAUGGAUGUCAGCUUCCUGGCAGAAUGUUCUGGUUUGCAUUUGGACUUCAUUAAGAAGUUGAACAGGCAGAAAAGUGAAUAACCGUCUUCCUUGGAAAUCUAGAAAUUUGUGAAUCUUCUGGUGGGUUCCAGAAGAUAACGACCUGCAAAGGGGAGCACGUCUACUGUCAGAAUGAGAAACAACCGAAUGCAGCGAUUUUUGUUGUGUUGAUGUUCCCUGAAGAAAGGAAGAUAAUUGAAAUAGGGUGAAUGCAUGUCCAUGAGCCUACAAUUCUUAUGAAUGUUUAUAAAAAAAGUAAAUACUUGUUAACUGAAAUAAUCUGUAAUAUUUCCAUUUAUCUGCAUAUAGUUAGGAUGGAUGUGUUCUAGGGACAUUUUGCAACUUUUUAUUACCAUGAAAAUUAUCCAGUCAAAAAAGUCACAAAAUCUUCAAAAACAGUUAUUGAGCAUUCUACAGAAACAAUCUGAGUGACUUUGAAAAAUGGAUAAACAUGGAUAACUUAUGAACAGAAAAGGCUGAAUAUUUCAAAUUUUUAACUACAAAUUAUUCAUUACAGUCUAGUAGAAAUAAUGUCAAAUCUGGCUAGUAGCACAAUAAUUGAGGAUUCAUAUUGUAUUUAUGGGAAUCACCAUGUAAUUACCUCUGUCUCCAGUGGUGGUACAGCAAAAUAAUAUGCAAUAUUUCAAGAUAUUUAAUUAAGUAAUGUCAGUGAGUUACCUUGAAGAUAACUUCUAUUACCCCCAUAUGACAGGCUUGUUGAUGAUUAGCUGACGGAUGGGUCCCCUCAGUAUGAAAGACAGAUGAACUGGGGAACAUCAGUGUGAUAUGCAGAACUCAGUGUGAUGGAGUAUGUAUAAUUAUUUGUUAUUUACCCUUUAAAGGUGACCUACAGAUGCAAUGCCUUAGGGUUUGUUUUUUUGUCUUCUUUGUAAUGUAAGAGAAAAUUCUAUAAAGUUCCUCAGCAGGAUCUGUACCUUAUUCCUUUCUGUAGAAAUUGUUGUCCACUUUAUUUGUCCUCAAAGGCCUCUAAUCCCUGAGGGAAGUAACAGGUUUAUGGUAUCAGAUAUCAAGGAAGAAAUAUCUUUGUGUGAGAGUAAUUUUUUAUGUGGCCUCCUUUGGAUGUGCUAGCUGUUAUGAAUUCAUGUGUGGUUCACUAGUAAUGUCAACAGCAAAACCCAUCAUCCCCAUCUUGGGAAUUGUAGAAAAUACCCUGCAGCCAGCAUGAUGAAAAUGUAAUAAAAGACCUGAGGAAAGACAGAAAACAGAAGAAGAUGAAGAAAGAUGAGUCUGUUAAUUGUUGUUUCUUCAGAGGAGUUAAGGAGCAAUCGUUGGUUGUUUAUUUCAUUCAGCAUAAACUCUGGGCUUUCAGUUUCUUACACAAGUAACCUCUCUCCUACUCUGUUGGCUGUACUACCUUGUAUUUUCACUUACUGCACUUUUUCUUGCUGUCACCACGCAGCUGACUUGAUCACAGCCUUCAGCCUAAAAAUCCUUGCUUUUUACUCAAGUCUGACUCCUGCUUACCAUGCAAUUUGUCUUCUACUAUAUCUGUGCACUCCUCUGUGGACCCUAAGGUGAUAAUUACAUUAGCUGUACUUCAUCACAAGCUUGUUAGGGCUCGACAGUUGAUUUUGGCUGACUAUAAUCAACCUUGUCCCCACUUGUCAUUGUCCCUUUGUGCAGCAGUUGCACAUGACUCUUCCUACAUCAGCAAACUGCGUGUUCUUUUAAGAGUGCAGCUGCUGAGUGAAAAGACUUCCACUGACCUUUGUGCUACAUGUGGUUUUGGGGAUUGUAGCUCACUAUCUCUAGUCUGGUUCAGAGGACUGAAUCAUUAAUGGCUAGAACAGGUCUUUGGGUUUCAUUUCAGCUGAAAAGUAUCUGUUUUGAGUGCUCGAAAGACAGCUCAGCUGCUUCAACCAAAGCG